UGUCUCCUCCACCUCCUCCUUUGGUGGAUUAAACCCGAACCGCUCGUUCGGGUUUUUUUUC
rfam:Burkholderia ginsengiterrae strain DCY85 NODE_11, whole genome shotgun sequence.